AUUGAACGCUAGCGGGAUGCUUUACACAUGCAAGUCGAACGAGUGGCGGACGGGUGAGUAAUAUAUCGGAAAGGGCCCAGUAGAGGGGGAGAACUACUGGAAAGAGUGGCUAAUACCGCAGAAUAUUGGAGCGGCCGAUAUCGGAUUAGCUAUGUGGUGGGGUAAAGGCGCACCAAGGCAACGAUCCGUAGCGGGUUUGAGAGGACGACCAGCCACACUGGGCAUGAGACACGGCCCAGACUCCUACGUGAUGCAGCAGUGGUGAAUUUUGGACAAUGGGGGAAACCCUGAUCCAGCCAUCCCGCGGGUAUGAGAAGGCCUUCGGGUUGUAAAGUACUUUUGGCAUAGAAGCGGUAUCUGCAGAAUAAGCACCGGCUAACUACGUGCCAGCAGCCGCGGUAAUUC
rnacentral:rRNA from 1 species